ensembl:snRNA U6 U6 spliceosomal RNA
GUGUUCACUUUGGCAGCACAUAUGCUGACCUUGGAAUGAUACAGAGAUUAGCAUGGGCCUCCACAAGGAUGACACACACAUUUGUGAUGAUAUAUAUCUAUAU